UCCUCGGUGGCGCAAUUGGCUAGCGCGUCGUAAGUUCUCAAUUGUUCGAAGAAGACGGAUUAGUGAUAUUGGUGUCUAACGAGAUUCGCAGUGACUGUUAAUCAGGAGGUUGAAAGUUCGAGCCUUUCCCGGGGAG